GAACUACUGACUUCUAGCCGUACUAAUACACAAUCAGAAGGAGAUGUUAAUGAGUGUGCGAUAGAUACAAGUCUCUGUAACAAUGGAAGAUGUGUCAACUUGGAUGGAUCAUACACUUGUGUCUGCAACACUGGAUUCACAUUAGUGAAUGCAAAUUCUUGCAAUGCUCUUUCAAGCAGUCUUGCCACUAGUCGAGUGACUGUGCAGAUUACAGGACAAAGACUGAAUGGUGAAACCCUGACGUAUACAACAGAAUUAACCAACAGGUCAUCGGCCAAAUUCAUGGAAUAUGAAAUUGCAUUCUGU